GCGGACGGGNGAGUAACACGUGGAUNACCCUACCUAUAAGACUGGGAUAANNUUCGGGAAACCGGAGCUAAUACCNGNAUAAUAUUUUGAACCGCAUGAUUCAAAAGUGAAAGACGGUCUUGCUGUCACUUAUAGAUGGAUCCGCGCUGCAUUAGCUAGUUGGUAAGGUAACGGCUUACCAAGGCAACGAUGCAUAGCCGACCUGAGAGGGUGAUCGGCCACACUGGAACUGAGACACGGUCCAGACUCNUACGGGAGGCAGCAGUAGGGAAUCUUCCGCAAUGGGCGAAAGCCUGACGGAGCAACGCCGCGUGAAUGAUGAAGGUCUUCGGAUCGUAAAACUCUGUUAUUAGGGAAGAACAUAUGUGUAAGUAACUGUGCACAUCUUGACGGUACCUAAUCAGAAAGCCACGGCUAACUACGUGCCAGCAGCCGCGGUAAUACGUAGGUGGCAAGCGUUAUCCGGAAUUAUUGGGCGUAAAGCGCGCGUAGGCGGUUUUUUAAGUCUGAUGUGAAAGCCCACGGCUCAACCGUGGAGGGUCAUUGGAAACUGGAAAACUUGAGUGCAGAAGAGGAAAGUGGAAUUCCAUGUGUAGCGGUGAAAUGCGCAGAGAUAUGGAGGAACACCAGUGGCGAAGGCGACUUUCUGGUCUGUAACUGACGCUGAUGUGCGAAAGCGUGGGGAUCAAACAGGAUUAGAUACCCUGGUAGUCCACGCCGUAAACGAUGAGUGNUAAGUGUUAGGGGGUUUCCGCCCCUUAGUGCUGCAGCUAACGCAUUAAGCACUCCGCCUGGGGAGUNCNNNNNNNNGGUUGAAACUCAAAGGAAUUGACGGGGAC
rnacentral:rRNA from 1 species